CCUACGGGUGGCAGCAGUGAGGAAUAUUGGUCAAUGGGCGCGAGCCUGAACCAGCCAAGUAGCGUGAAGGAUGACUGCCCUACGGGUUGUAAACUUCUUUUAUAAAGGAAUAAAGUGAGGCACGUGUGCCUUUUUGUAUGUACUUUAUGAAUAAGGAUCGGCUAACUCCGUGCCAGCAGCCGCGGUAAUACGGAGGAGCCGAGCGUUAUCCGGAUUGAUUGGGUUUAAAGGGAGCGUAGAUGGGUUGUUAAGGCAGUUGUGUAAGUUUGCGGCUCAACCGUCAAAUGGCAAUUGUUACUGGCAGUCUUGAGUACAGUUGCGGUAGGCGGAAUUCGUUGUGUAGCGGU
rnacentral:rRNA from 1 species